GAUAUUUGUACAGGAAAAACAUUGAUUCACAGUGGAGGAAAAGAACUAGGAAGCUUACCAGCAAGUAUGCGACUGGUAUGGUGAACAACAUGGCAACGAAGAAUGUCAAGCAGAAAGUCAGAGAGGAAAUAAUUUCACUGGUG
rnacentral:lncRNA from 1 species